CACACAACCAAGGGGGGUUCCGGCAAGGAACUGAGAGGCCACUGGUUCUGGCAACAGAACAGCGCGUGGCGACCCUGCCGCCAGCAUGCAUGAUGCCGCUGGCGGGGAACCUGAUCCGGCUAAUACCGGCGGAGGGACUGGUGCGAAAGAAGAGA
rnacentral:ncRNA from 1 species